rnacentral:misc_RNA from 1 species
AAGUCGUAACAAGGUUUCCGUAGGUGAACCUGCGGAAGGAUCAUUAACACAAGUAAAAAAACAUUUUACAACACCCUAUUAUGAAUUUAAAUUUUUUAAUUUUAAUUUUUUUAUAAAACUACAAAAAAAAAUUAAUUUAUUUGACUAACAUUUUUUUAAUUAAUUUAUUUAAAAUUUUAUAAAACAACUCUUAACAACGGAUAUCUUGGCUCUC